rnacentral:misc_RNA from 1 species
AGUGAAGUGAAGGGGCUCUUUUCGGCCAUUUUUCCAAUGGGGUUUCCGUUUCUAAUUGCAAAGCUCGUCAUUUUCGGCCUCUGAUGUCCUGUAAGUUUAAAUUCCUCGAAGCUUUUCUUUCUACUUCCGAUCAAUGUUUCGUUUCUUUUCCAAAUUACUCUUCAAUCAUACUAUCAUAGACUCCAAAGCGUGUUACCCGUGUUACCCUCGUUAUAUUUCCUCUGUAAAUUCAGCCUCAAGCUCAAAAGACCGACAUCAUUUAACACUCAAUUACCUUACCAACUCAUGUGGGUUGUCUCUACAAAGGGCAACUUCAGCCUGCAAGUUUGUUAAUGUUCAGAGCACAGAUAAAGCGGAUUUGGUUCUUCAACUGCUAAGAUCUAAAGGCUUUACUCAAUCUCAAAUUGCUAGAUUAAUUUCAACGCGACCACAUCUUAUUCUAUACGAUCCCGAUAAAAUCCUUAAACCCAAGAUUGAAUCAUUUGAGUCACUGGGUUUUGUAGCUCCCCGGCUGCCCAGGAUGCUAUGUGCAGAUCCAACUAUUCUAACAACUAGUUUAAAGAAUCGGAUUUUGCCAAAUAUUGAUUUUC